rnacentral:lncRNA from 10 species
GAUAUGACUGUCUUGAGCACAUACGUGCUUGCUUGCUGUGGACUUGGGAGAGAGCUGGCUUCUCUUGGGCAUGCUUCAUAUUCUGCUUUGAUGGCCCUUCCUCUCAAAAGCUUGUCCCGUUGUGACUUUCUCCAUGAGCUUAGCAGCAUCUCUGGAGGGCUCCUCAGCACUGCCUCUUGUUGCAUCAAGAGCAAAAUUUGGGAACAAAUGGAAAAGUCUGUGGAUCCAUAGUUUCUGCUAUAACAAACAAAGCUUUUAUGUUUAUAUUGCACUUCCACGUCAGAAGAACCUGUGGAAGAAUCCAGGAAAAUGCCUAGUGUCAAUGUGAGGAAAGUACAUGGAUGGCAGCAGACUACCAGGACAUGAAAAGAAUAGCUCCUUCCUGACUUACUCUCUCUUGGAUCAAUUACUGUGAUGGAAACCAGCUGCCAUGUCAGGAGUACACUCAGCUGGCCUAAUGGGAGGCCCACACAGAGAGGCACUGAGGUCGCCAAUCAAUAACCAACACCAAUACAGCGCAGACCAUAAGCCAGUGUCCCAACUAGGGACUUGAAGAUGAGUCUACAGAGAUGACCAGAGCGGUGCUGGGUGAACUUCAUUUUCCUUUCCUAGUCAAGAAGGCUUAAGUAAUAGUAUGAGGAAAUACCUGAAGACCCAAACCCUGGUAGAAAAGACACUGCUGUCAUGGCAACAUUCUAACUUUAGCACAUUGAAUAUGUCAUACUACUCUCUCCUGGACUGCAGAGUUUUUGCUGACAAAUCUGCUGACAGCCAUGUUGGAACUCUCUUGAUUGUGGUGAAGCCUAAGAAACACUGUCUAAGCUAAAGGGCCAAGGUCAACAUCAACAGCGAAAGAGGAGACUUUGGGACUUGGAAGUGACUCCUAAAAUAGAGUAUUUUUAAAACUAUGGAACAUAACCUCAAUAACAUUAUUGAGAAUGGCUACUUGGCAAAUAAGGGAACUUUUGCAUCAGAGAUUAUUUAUGAUACAUCACAAUAGCAAUCUUAAAAAUGGAAGCAGAUUCUGAGAGACCUAAAGCACAAAUAAAUGAUAAAGGAUUGCAAGUGUAAAUAUUAGGUUUCUCUAGGAUGAAGAAAUCUCCUUAAAAAAAGGCCUACGUUUCAAAGCCUAGCUGUGCAGGAUGAAUGAAAAUCCAUUUGCCCAAUAAACUAGAAAAUCUAGAAGAAAUGGAUAAAUUCCUUGACACAUACACCCUCCCAAGACUAAACCAGGAAGAAGUUGAAUCUCUGAAUAGACCAAUAACAGGCUCUGAAAUUGUGGCAAUAAUCAAUAGCUUACCAACCAAAAAAAGCCCAGGACCAGAUGGAUUCAUAGCCGAAUUCUACCAGAG